UAACAUAUUUAGUAAAUGUUUAACAUCGUUGUGAUCAUAUCCUCUUUGUUUUUAUUAGACAAGUAGUGCGUAUUAAACUAAGUGCUUUGGUUAUAGUGGAUAGUGGUAUCCUUUGAAUCCUUUCAGCAAGAUGUUAGUAAAGACAGAUAAGGAAAUUCGCAAAUUAGGACCGGGUGAAAUAUACUCCCUAGUAGAAAUCUUACACGCUGUAGAUGACUGGAAAAUGUUCAUGUCUCUUAUACCUAAGAAUCCUCGAAACGAAAAUUCCGAACGAAAAUACAACAGUGAGGAUAUAAGAAAAAUUGAACAACAUGCUGGAGAUACUCAAGAAAAAUGUGCAAAGAUUAUGUUUGAUGAAUGGGGGACGUCGGGCCAAAUUCGCCCAACACUGAGGACUGUACAGCAAAUUGCUUUAAAGGCAGAGAUGAUGCGCCUCGUUGAUGAAAUAUCUGUCAUGUUGGGAGAGCCACUUCUUCCUCGGCCAACGCAAGGCCCCGGAGCUCCUGUGACUACGCAAGUCUCUUUUAAUAAACGAAGCAAGCACCGCAGAAGUGACAUCUCUAAAUAAUGGAAGAAAUGAAGCUAAUGACAUGAGCACCGAGCAAGUACAUAAUGUACCAAACUGGGAAAAGUGGUGCCACUGCAUUGAUAUCAACCCUAUUACCCCACCAAUUCAACCUGGACCAGCAAAUAAUGCACCUAACUGGGCUUGAUUGGUCAAAACUGCCAAAAGCAAAUCCCUCAGUACCCAGCAGUCUUCUGAAAACCAGGAAUUCAGCAAUUAACAGCCUAACAAGAGGAAUAAUCCAUUAGGGCACAAGAGAUCCGAGACAGUUAUAAAAUUAUAAAUUACAAAAGUGUCACUUCAUGGCAAGCUCAUUUUGCACGCAUUCAUUUAUUCGGCUUUGAACCAUAAGAUUCACUACAAAACCUUCGAGUUGUGAAUGUGUGCGUGUCACGAGUAAACACAAAAAAAUCGGGGUUUUGAAGUAAUAGUUUCAUCUCGGCAAACUUUAUGAAUCUCAGUGUAAUUUAGUGCGUCUUUUUUACCGACAGUAGGUAUAUAAGAAGGAUGGUGAUAGUUAGGAUUUACUUGUAUACAACCUACAUACAGUACAGCAAGUGU